GUUUGGCUUAGUUAGUGGGCAUAAACUAAUUCGAACCCAAAUCUGGGUCUUCAACUAAGGCCUUUUUUAGGGGACUUCUUGUUUUACCAUAAUUGUCUUCCGAGCAGCCUUGGACAUUU